AGCAGCCGCGGUAAUUCCAGCUCCAAUAGCGUAUAUUAAAGUUGUUGCAGUUAAAAAGCUCGUAGUUGAAUUUUAGGCCUGGCCGGGCGGUCUGUCUUUGGCGAGUACUGUCUGUCGUUGGGUCUUCCUUCUGGUGAGCCAGUAUGUCCUUUAUUGGGUGUGCCGGGGGCCAGGACCAUUACCUUGAAAAAAUUAGAGUGUUUAAAGCGGGCUAUUGCUUGAAUAGAUUAGCAUGGAAUAAUAGAAUAGGACGUUGUGGUUAUAUUUUGUUGGUUUCUAGGACCACCGUAAUGAUUAAUAGGGAUAGUUGGGGGCAUUAGUAUUCAAUUGUCAGAGGUGAAAUUCUUGGAUUUAUCGAAGACUAACUAUUGCGAAAGCAUUUGCCAAGGAUGUUUUCAUUAAUCAAGAACGAAAGUUAGGGGAUCGAAGACGAUCAGAUACCGUCGUAGUCUUAACCAUAAACUAUGCCGACUAGGAAUCGGGCGACGUUAUUUUCACGACUCGCUCGGCGCCUUAUGGG
rnacentral:rRNA from 1 species